CCUACGGGGGGCUGCAGUGGGGAAUAUUGGACAAUGGGGGCAACCCUGAUCCAGCCAUGCCGCGUGUGUGAAGAAGGCCCUCGGGUUGUAAAGCACUUUCAGUGAGGAAGAACGCCUGGUGGUUAAUACCCAUCAGGAAAGACAUCACUCACAGAAGAAGCACCGGCUAACUCCGUGCCAGCAGCCGCGGUAAUACGGAGGGUGCGAGCGUUAAUCGGAAUUACUGGGCGUAAAGCGCGCGUAGGUGGCUUGAUAAGCCGGUUGUGAAAGCCCCGGGCUCAACCUGGGAACGGCAUCCGGAACUGUCAAGCUAGAGUGCAGGAGAGGAAGGUAGAAUUCCCGGUGUAGCGGUGAAAUGCGUAGAGAUCGGGAGGAAUACCAGUGGCGAAGGCGGCCUUCUGGACUGACACUGACACUGAGGUGCGAAAGCGUGGGUAGCAAACAGGAUUAGAUACCCGUGUGUC
rnacentral:rRNA from 1 species